GAGACUCUGUGCGCGUGCAUAUCAAUAAGCGGAGGAAAAGAAACUAACAAGGAUUCCCCUAGUAACGGCGAGUGAAGCGGGAAGAGCUCAAAUUUGAAAUCUUAAAGGGUUUCCCUUUACGAAUUGUAGUUUAAAGAAGUGUUUUCUGUUGGAGUUUCGGUAAAAGUUCUUUGGAAUAGGACAUCAUAGAGGGUGAGAAUCCCGUAUUUGACCGUUACUUUCCAGCUGUGUGAUACACUUUCAAAGAGUCGGAUUGUUUGGGAAUGCAGUCCAAGAUGGGUGGUAAAUUUCAUCUAAAGCUAAAUAUUGGCGAGAGACCGAUAGCGAACAAGUACCGUGAGGGAAAGAUGAAAAGAACUUUGAAAAGAGAGUUAAACAGUACGUGAAAUUGUCAAAAGGGAAGCGUUUGACACCAGUGUUGUUUAGUUGAAAAUCAAUUCAAUAGUUUUUGAUUCUAAGUAGUAUUGACUUCAUCAGCUUGCUGCUUUCUUCUCAGAGAUUAUUGAAUGCACUUUUCAGUUAACAAGUCAACAUCAAUUUCUUUUGUUGUAAAAGGGUAAGAGGAAGGUGGCUUGCGCUUCGGCUCAAGUGUUUAUAGCCUUUUAUCUCUGCAAUCGGAGAGAUUGAGGUCUGCAGCGUAGAUCCUUCGGGGUUAGAUACAUUGGUGCUAAGCUAUAGCCUUGUAUAGACAACUUGUUGACUAUGCUCAGUCAUGUAGCUUACUCGCUGAUGCUAUUUUACCUACGCUUAGGAUGUUGACAGCAGUAUAGACUGU
rnacentral:rRNA from 1 species